UGUUAACCAGCCAAGGUCCUUCUGGU
rnacentral:piRNA from 1 species